GUUAAGAUGGCAGAGCCCGGUAAUUGCAAAAGACCUAAGUCCUUUCAACCAGAGGUUCAACUCCUCUUCUUAAC
rnacentral:tRNA from 1 species